rnacentral:rRNA from 1 species
GGCCUAACACAUGCAGUCGAACGGUAACAGGAAUUAGCUUGCUAAUUUGCUGACGAGUGGCGCACGGGUGCGUAACGCGUAUACAAUCUACCUUUUGCUGAGGGAUAGCCCAGAGAAAUUUGGAUUAAUACCUCAUGGUAUUAUUGAUAGGCAUCUAUUAAUAAUUAAAGGUUACGGCAAAAGAUGAGUAUGCGUCCCAUUAGCUAGUUGGCGAGGUAACGGCUCACCAAGGCAACGAUGGGUAGGGGUCCUGAGAGGGAGAUCCCCCACACUGGUACUGAGACACGGACCAGACUCCUACGGGAGGCAGCAGUGAGGAAUAUUGGACAAUGGGCGAGAGCCUGAUCCAGCCAUGCCGCGUGCAGGAAGACUGCCCUAUGGGUUGUAAACUGCUUUUAUACAGGAAGAAUA